CUGAUUUUUAUUAAAUGGCCGCAGUAUCCUAACUGUGCAAAGGUAGCAUAAUCAUUAGUUUUUUAAUUGAAAGCUUGUAUGAAUGAUUGGACGAGAUAUUAGCUGUCUCAUUAAAAUAUUUUGAAUUUUAUUUUUUAGUCAAAAAGCUAAAAUAAUUUUAAAAGACGAGAAGACCCUAUAGAUCUUUAUAAUUUAAUUUUUAAUAUUUUUUUAGCUUAAUUAUUAUAUUAUAAAUUAAAUUAUUUUGUUGGGGUGACAAUGAAAUUUAUAUAACUUUUGUUAUUUUUAAAACAUAAAUUAAUGAAUAAUUGAUCCUUUAUUAUAGAUUAAAAAUUUAAGUUACCUUAGGGAUAACAGCGUAAUUAUUUUGGAGAGUUCAUAUCAAUAAAAUAGAUUGCGACCUCGAUGUUGGAUUAAGAUUAAUUUUUGGUGCAGAAGCUAAAAAUAUUAAGUCUGUUCGACUUUUAAUUUCUUACAUGAUCUGAG
rnacentral:rRNA from 1 species